UCCAGCAUCCAAAGCAACAGACAGCGUGCAAGAGAUGUGAUUUACAAGAUUUACAAGAUGGCAGUGAGAUCUGCUAUGCUAUAUGAUUCUGAUAUCGUGGCACUGGCAGAAAAACAGGAGGCCGAGCUGGAGGUGUUAAGAUUUUAAUUGUGAGUGACCAGAAGGACACCUCUGGUUUGGAGUUAAAGUUAGAAGGAUGGGGCUGAGACAUGUGCAGGAGAGGAACACUGGAUAUAUAUCGGACGCAGCAGGAGGAGGAAAACAGGUUCAUUGAUGGAGGGUGUUGGGGUGACAGAGGAGGAUGCUGGAGAAAAGCAUUUGUGAAGCCCAGUUCCCAGUCCUGUCUCACUGGCACACGAUGAAAGGCAGCAGAAUUGAAGGAAUUGGAGCUGAUGAAGAAAUCUCAAAGGAGGGGCACGAGCAUGGCAAUAUAAUUCAGCAAUGUUCACUGGUAUUAAUAAAAAAAACUAAAUCAACCAUUCAGAAGAGGACAGAGGAGAGGAGACAGAAGGAAACAUUUAAAACUCAGAGGAGGAACAACAUGUUACUAUUUGA